CCGCCCCUAAAACCUUUUCCUCCUUUCUUCUCUCUCACCCACCUCCUAACCUUAGCCCGCCUUCACCAGAAUCCCUUCAAUCCAUGAGUUUCUUUUUUGAUUCAAGGGAUUAUUUGGCUUCCUAUCUCUACUGGAUUUUCGACUUUCAUGUUAUUUGAUGGAAUCUCAAAGAGAUUCGACACAGACUUGGUUCAAAUCCCUCAUUUUCUCGAUGAAUCCGUCUGUGUUCAUUACUAUGUUUGUGAGUACCGAUAUCUUCAUGUUUAUGGCUUCAAAUCUCUGGUUCAAAGCAGAUUUUUCUCAGCUCUGUUUAUUUUUUUGACAUAUCCUAACUAUUUCUGGUUAAAUCGUUCAGAUCUCCUUAGAUCUGAAUCGGUUUGAGUUUGUUUGUUACCUCUCUUUUAAGGUUCUGUUGUUUUUCUUAUUAUUGUUGACCGAUUUUUGUUUUCCCUAAAAACUAGGGUUUCAUCUUUUUAAGUUUCUGCAAAUGUGUUAAAAACGCCUAAGAGCUCAACUCUAGUCCUUCUUCUUUACUAUUCGACCAGUUUCUUUGCUUGAUGUUUCAUCUUUGUUUCUACAUGCUUAAGAGUUUUCCGCUAUUUGAUUAUUUAUCUCACUGAUCUUGCCCAUUUAUUUUGGCUCUAUCAAAUAAACUGCUUACUUGGUUUACUUGCUUAAUUAGGGUGUGAAAUUGUACUCCUUUUCAAAACGAAUAUCUUUUCGAAAGAUUCUUACUUAUUCUUUCAUUAUAUGUGAUUCAUAAUUGGUACUACUUUUCUUAAUUAUGUUACUAGCCUAAUUUCUGGGCUUUGAUUAUUGUGACCGACCUAUAAAUCAUCUCUGAAUUUAUUUCUUAUGCUACUAAACCUCAAUUCAAUCCGCUAAUUGAUUUCGUAUGAGAUGCUCCUUAAUUUAAGUGACUUUUUCAGGAUUAUGUCCUCUUAAUUAAUUGAUGUAUAGCCUUAAUUAACUGGUUAAUUUUUUUGCAUACCUUAUUUGUAUGCCCUUGAUUUUUCUAACUUACUUGUUUACUCUACUGUAUGCGAUAUAAUUUUUUCACCAUUCUGAUAUUAAAACACACUCAGACUCACUCAGACACCUACACUUAUAAGCACACGCUUACAGACUUACACUCACCCUUAUGCACUCUCACAAUUUACUCACUUUACAACACAAUAGCUCUCAGCUUUUCCUCAAAGGAUUUGAGUUCUCUCUACGUGCAACUAUUUUGAUUUCUACAUUGUUCAACCGGCUGGAAGCCAAGAUUGAACUCUUUGGAUCCCAAUUACAAUUACAUUCAUGUUUACUUUCUUCCUAUCUGGUAUGUAUUAACCUCUGCUAUCCUAUUCUGUUCUACGUGCUUAUUUGGUUAGCUUAUUUCAAGCCUUAACAUGUUUCUAUUUGAGCUAUGAUUCCUUCUUUCUUUUUUCUCAAUUGGCAUGUUUCAGUUCCUGUUAUAUGUUUUUUUAGUUUAUUUCAACCUCAACAUAUUUUCUUGCAUGCUUUAGUCUCUGCUAUUCUAUUCAAUCCUAUGUGCUUAUUAGUUUAAAAUUUCAGCAUGAUUCUGUAUGUUAUUUGACUAUGUGAUUCCACUAAGUAACAAUAUUAAACUAAGCUAUAUCCAAUAAUGUGGAACCCUAUCCAAUUUAGUUGUAUGUUCUGAACACUUGUUGGAUACUGCACGAAAUGUAUGACUAAUCCUAUAAGUUAAGCUUUUGUGAUCACUUUAAGUGCUAGCAUAGGUAUCUAAUAUGAACCAAUGUCCACUUAGUUGAAUUAUAAGUUGAACAUGAGUUUGUUUUCUGAUAUUGUUCUGUAUGUGUUGACUUCUAAACUUGCUCCCCCUUUACCCUAUGUGUACUAGUUUUCAAACUUCCACUCUUAGUGAUUUAGGUUCCUACCACCCCCAGUGUGUGAGUACUGCCUAGGGUCCUUGAGACUCCUCUGAACUAUGACAUAUUGUGGAUGGUCUUCCAAUCUUUUUAUGAAAUCUUUCUUUAAGUGUGGUCCUGGUGUAAGCAUUGUCCGGUGUCCUUGAGGCCCUUGAGAACUUUGACACAUCAGGAACUCAAUUUUAUAUGCUAUGGGUGGACUACCAUUAUUCUCCCAAGUUGCUAUGUUUGAAGGCCUGGUUCCUAGGUUCAUAUUGGGCCUGCUAAGGCUCCCUAUAGUGCAAUAGCUGCUGUUAUGUAAUUUAUUUGUUCUGGGCUGUAAUAAUCUCUAUAAUGAAUAAAUAUAGGGUUUAUUAGUAAAAGUUAGGGGAAUUUUCUAUAUUUUGUUCAAAACUGGGUAGAAAUCCUGCCUAUAGGAUUUAACUAUGUUGACUGUAUCAUGUGAAUGUCAUACUUGUCUAGAGAUCAUGCCUAUAGGAUUUUUUUGGGUGCUUGUGACUAUGUAUUCUUACAUUUUUUGGCAUACUAGAGAAACUGCUUAUACGCUUUUGUUGAUUCUGCAUUAGAAAUCCAUGUUCAUAGGAUCCGUAUAUAUUUUCGAUCUCAACAUGCAUUAGUGAUCAUGUAUAUAGGAUCUUAAUUGUAUGAAUUAACCAACUUUCUUGGAAAUGUAUAUAAAAUUCUGCCUAUAUAUGAUCGAUAGAUGUCAUGCCUAUAGGAAAUAUAAAAUCAGUUCUGCACUUAGAUAUCAUGCCGAUAGAAAAAAAUUAGUUUUGCACUUAGAUGUCAUGUCUAUAAGAAAUAACAUUAACUAUCAAUUUCAACAUUUAGAAAUCAUGCCUAUAAGGGUAAUUAAUUCUGUAAAUUAGAAAGUAUCCCUGUAGGAUUUAAAGAUGAAAUCUGUCUAUUAAAAUUGUGACUCGGCUACAAACUGUAGUCUCUAGUUAACAAUUUUUAGAUACCAUGCUUAUAGGAUUAUGCUCUGGUCCUUACUUAGGCAUGCGUAUAGGGUAACUAAGAAUUCUGGGUCUAGAAACUAUGAGUUCUUGCUGCUUGAAACAUGGCUAGAUUCAGAGUAUUAACAAAAUCAGUAGGCAAAAUGAUAGAUAUUGUUGAUUGCUUAAUAAAGCUGUUGUAUAUUCUGUUCAUGCUCAUCUAGAUAUCGUGUCUAUAGAUUCGUAACUUGUAGAACUUUAUUUGUUUGAAUUGCGUGUUUGGUUGGCUAUUUAUAGAGGUUAACAUGAGCCCCGUUAUUUGCAUCUUACAUGAUAGUCCUAUUUGAAUUCUGUUUGUCUCUUAGUUUUCUCAUUUUUAAGCUACGUAGGUGAGUCUAGAUCCAUCCAAAAUAGAAGUCCUAAAUACCUCCAGGAUUAUAGGUAAGGGGCUGGUAGUGCACGCAUAAGUUACGCAUUUAGAAGCUACUAGAAUGCUAAGGUAACAACUGGAAGAUAGUGAUGGGGUAUUAAAGGAGAUGAUGACUUGUGCGCUAAUGUUAUGCGUAUCACCCAAAUUUGGAAACGUUACCAAGUAUUGCAUGAAAAUGAUCUUAUUGGCUAAAGAACGUACGACCCCUUUAAUUCUUAUUUUAAAGUAAUUAUAUACUUGUUUUAAUUGUUUAACUUUUCCAUAUGAAUAAUUCUCUUAAUUGAGUUUGGCCGGGACCUACCAUUAUGGACCUCGAGGGGUGCCUAACACCUUCCCCUUAAGGUAAUUUCGAGCCCUUACCCGAUCUUUGUUGAUGUAAACUAGUUCAUGAGUUAAUUAUUCUAGGUGCCCUAACAUACCUUAACCCGUUAGGUGGAGAUUCUUCAAAUCUCUUACCCAAUUCCAAAAGGAAAGGAGUUGUCCAAAAGAUGUUGAAACCUGGACUCUACGAGGAAAAAGGGUGCGCGACAGUCUCUUCUUUGUCAACUGUUAGGCCCGAUUCUCUUGUCUGUACCGUCUCGUGAAUGUUUCUCCCCGUGCCUUCCUCUCCCAAUUAAUUCUUUUAAUUGAGGAUUCCACUUGUCGUUAUAUCAUUAUUCCACAUGUCAUGCUAUGUUAGCAUUUCAAUACUCCACGUGCAAUGCCAUUUUACCACCAAUGCAUAUAGUCCCCCUACUUUCUGAAUAUUCUCUACUGAAUAUUCGAGAAGUGGAAAGUUCUUAUGGCAGGAAUUCUCUGCCGCCGUUUUUUGAAUAUAAUCAUGUCUCCUUCAGAAUCAGUGUGACGCAUAUCACGUCCAUCUAAUGCUCACGCCGCAUUACUUUUACCGAUGGUUCUACAAUUUCAGUGAUUUUUAGAUCUUUUCUGAACCACAUCAGUCACGAAGUGACGGUUCUAUUAUGACGCUUCAUAAUGACCUAAUGGUCGUGUCUUCUUAUAAAUACUCCACUCUUUUUUGAUUUCUUGAAGUCUUUCUUCUUUCAUAUUCACGAGGUAGUUGCAAAUGCAGUUUUAAUAUUAAAAUUGCGGCAUUAUUGUUAGAACCAUUAUCAGAAGACAUACACAAUACUUUUUGCUUUAGAUUAUAAAAUUCAACAACUUCCACGAAUAGUACUACUUAUAAACACAGCAGUAUGACUCUGAUCUUCAUCAUAUCUAAAAGCAAUAAUACGUUUUUGCAUACAAGUAGUAUCAUCUAUCCAAUGACAUGUAAUUGUCAAAUAAUCAUUUUCAUUAACA
rnacentral:lncRNA from 1 species